GCUGGGGAGGGGCUCAUUGCCCCGGGAGGGCACGCUGUGGGUGGAGCGAGGCCCUGGAGUCCGGAAGGGCCGGCGGGCGCUCUGCGUCACAGUGGAGGAGAGGAGGGGAAAUUGAGGUAGUGUGGGAUGCCGGCUUAGCCACCAUCUGCUGAUUCCGAGCCAAGUGAGUCCCAGCUUGACAAGCUGCUGACUCAUUAACUUCAUAGUUAGCUGAGUUUUAAUGUGGCCUUUUUACCGGCCCAGCCACUGGAAAGUCUGAGGAGAAAGGGAGAAGGCCUUCUGCCCUCCCUUUCCAAACUUUUAUAGAAUACUUGGAUGGUACUUAAAAAAAAAUCCGCCCUCCCUAAUUUACUGUAGCCAGGUCUGUUGUUUAUUACCAGCACUUAACAGAACCUCUGCACAUAGUAGGUUGCUCAGCAUACUCAGGACAAAAGGAAGGGAUGGAAGAAAGUUGAUAUUAGGGGUUGAAUCUCCCAAAAUUAACACUAAAGUUCUAACUCGUGAUACCUAUGUAUAUGGCUGUAUUUGGGGGUAAGGUCUUUAAAGAAGUGACUACAUUGAAAUGAGAUCCUUAGAUAUGAAACCAAGUCAGUAGGACUUGGAAAAUGAAAUCAAGCCAGGCAUAGUGACACGGUGCCUUUAAUCCCAGCACUGAGGAGACAGAGGAAGUUUAAAGGCCAGCCAGAGCUAUAGAGUGAGACCCUUUCUCAAAACCAAAACCAAAACCAAUGCAAUUACCACCUAGCCAUAAGGAGGCAUAACAAAGAACACUUCCUGAGCCACUAACCACCUGUAAGCCAUGGAGACCUCAGAAAAAAAACAAACUUGUCUCUACUUUGAUGUUAAGAGUUGGAGCUUUCAAAACCAAAAGUAGUAGCCAGGCCUGGUAGGUAGUUCACACCUAUAAUUCUAGCACAUGUGAGGCUGAGGCAGGAGGAUUGCUGCAAGUUUGGAGUAAAGCUGGACUACAUAGUUCCAGGCCAGCCUGGAUUAUGUAGUGAGACCCUGAUUACAAAACAAAAUACAACCAAGAGAAAGUACAUUUCCGAUGUUUAAACAACCCAUUACCCAUCCUCUGGUUCUUUGUUCUGGCAGUCCCAGCAAAGUAAUAACUGCAUGGCUAGUCAGAGCAAAUAGCUUUACUUCAAAACAGGCUUAUUUAGGCCAGCAAGAUGGCUCAGUAGGUAAAAGCAAUUACCCGGAAAGCCUGGCAACCUGAGUUCAGUCCCUGAAACCCAUGUAAGGGUGGGAGGAGAGAACUAACUCCACAUAAUUAUUCUCUGACCACCACACAUAUCCCUAUUCCAGUAAUAAUAUGUAGAAAUCUAAAAGUAGGUUUAUUUUUUUUAUUUUGUUUUUAUUUAUUAUGUAUACAGUCUUGUGCCUGCAUGCCAGCAGAGGGCACCAGAUCUUAUUCAAGGUGGUUGUGAGCCACCAUGUGGUUGCUGGGAAUUGAACUCAGGUCCUCUGGAAGAAAACCCAGUGCUCUUAACCGCUGAGCCAUCUCUCCAGCCCAAAGUAGGUUUAUUUUAAAUAACCUUUUGGGAAACAUUAGCAUUUUAACUUUCUAUCGGGAAGGAGACUUAAUGACAGGGAAAUAAGGUAUAAUCAUGUAACAGUGGAUUAUACCUUAUUCUACUCUCUACUGUGGACAUUUGGCACUAUCUGGAGACAGUUCUUGUUGUUACAUGUGGAGGAAGGAAUCAGUGAUGUUGAUAUCUGAGUAGAGACCAGAAAUGUUGUUUGACGUUCUAGAACUCCUUCCCUCAGUGAAGGAUUAUCCAAUUAGAAAACAAGAAUAGAACUGAGGCUGAGAAACUCAACAGAUGUAUUUCUCAGAGUGUAAUUAGCAGAGGCAGGAGGAUCUCUGAGUUUGAGGCCAGCCUGGUCUACAGAAUGAGUCCCAGAACAGUCAGGGCUACACAGAGAAAGCCUGUCUGAAACAAAACAAAACAAAACAAGGGAAGCUGGCUGUGCCAGUGCACACGCACACCUUUCAUCCCAGCAUACAGAGGCUUCAGGAACCUCUGAGUUUAAGGCCAUCCUGAUCUACACAUACAGUGAAAUCCAGUCUCAAAAAAUGAAAAAUGACAGGGAGUAAAAGUUCUGAUUUUCUCUUUUCAUUUGCAGUUUUUUGCAACUUAUUAUUAUUAUUAUUUUGAGACUGGGCUACAUAGUCCAAUGCUUCCUCCAUCUCUAUGGUACUAAGAUUGCAGUAAUGAACUACCAUGCAUGGCUGAAAGUCCAAAUGAUUCUAAGACUGGGCUCUGGAGUUUAUAGAAACUUGAAUUUAAUGUGAUUCUACAAAACUUAUUCUGUGAUCGUAGAUAGUUACAUCACCUUUGUAAGCCUCAGUUUUCUCAUCACAGAAAUUAAUGCAAUAUAUUUAGGAGUUUAGCAAUUAUGACUAGUACAUGACUAAUCAGAUCCCAAGUGUACAGCUAAAUGUUUAAAAGUAAAGUACUUCAUAUAAAGCCUCAUAGGAGAAGAAAGCCAGUGUUUUGAUUCCUUUAACAAGUUUCCUACAUCUGAUCAUCAAAAUCACUGAGGAAGAUGUGAAUCAUGUAGACAUCUGGUCAGAAAUAUGUAGGCAGAGAAAACAGGAAAGGCAAGGGCCCCAUUGCAGUACCUAUGCUUGCUAUGGUCAAGAAGGACCAAGGUCAGUGUGCUGCUUAGUUUUUUUUCGACUUGGCACAGACUAGAGCUACCUGGGAAGGGAGAAUCUUAACUGAGGAAUUACCUUCAUCAGACUGGCCUGUGGGCAUGUUUGUGGGCCAUUUUGAUUAAUGGUUGAUGUGGGACGAGCUAGCUCACUGUGGGUUGUGCCACCUGCCCUGACUCCCCUUUAUGGUGACUGUGAUCAGGACAUUUAAGUCAAAUAAACCCUUCCCUCCACAAGUUGCUUUUGGCCAUGGCAUUUAUCACAACAGAUAGCAAAUUAGAGCAGAUGGUAUGACAAAAAAAAUACAGCAAGCAAGGGAGCAGUUCUGGAGAGAGAAGAGCAAGAAUAGAGAGGUAGGGAGACCAGAUCACUUGGAACCUUUGGUAGGUUUUAGAUAGGUCAUUUUGGCUUGUGUGUUAAGAAUGGCUGUGGGGUGCAGAGGCAGGCGGAUAUCUCUAUCUCUGUCUCUCCCUCUCUCUCUCUGGUUUUUCGAGCCAGGGUUUCUCUGUGGCUUAGGAGACUGUCCUGGAACUAGCUCUUGUAGACCUGGCUGGUCUGGAACUCACAGAGAUCCGUCCUGCCUCUGCCUCCUGAGUGCUGGGAUUAAAGGCAUGUGCCACCACUGCCUGGCUGUGAUAUCUGUGAGUGUGAGGCCAGCCUUGUCUACAGAGCGAGUUCCAGGACAGCCUCCAAAGCAGUACAGAGAAACUUUGUCUCAGAAAACCAAAUAAAGAAAAAAGACAAAAAAAAAAAAAAAAGAAUGGCUGUGGUGGUGGGACACACCACAGAGCUGGCAGAGUUCAAGGCCAGCCUGGUUUAAAGAGUGAGUUCCAGGACAGCCAGGACUGUUUCACAGAGAAAUCCUGCCCCUUGCAAAAAAGAAUGUCUGUAUGGGACAAAGGUAGAAAUAGAAAGCAUGCAGUACUUCAAUUGUCCAAGCAAGACAGCUGUGGUGGAUUCAAAUAGUACAGCUUAUUUGGAGAUGAUAACAUAUUCUAAAACUAGGCUAUCAUCAUGGCCAUGCAACUCUGUGUAAAUAAAUGUGCUAAAAACACUGGAUUUUUGUAAAUUUCAAGUGGAUAAAAUUUAUGGUACAUGAAUUGUAUCUCAAAAAUUAUUUUGAAAAGAAAUGGGAGCUGAGUGCGGUGGUACAUGCCUAUAAUCCUAGCACUUCAGAAGUAGUGGCAGGACAAUUGCCACAAAUUUGGGGACAGUCUACAUACUCAGUUGCAGACAAUCCAAAGUCACAGAGUGAUAUCUUGUUGCUAAAAUACAAAACCAAAGUAAACUAAAACACCCCUAACCCUCCAUAACAUUUUUUUCUAUUUGAAAGAUAAAAAGAAAUGGGAGAAUGGAUUUCAAUAAGGAAAAAUGAUGGACAAAUACUGUAAGGAUUUAAGUGUAAUUAGAAAACAGAAACUUGCAGAACCAUUUGCAUAAUUGUAUGAUUCCAUACAACAUCCAGAAAUGUAUAGCUAGAAUUAACCAAACAGCAAAUACUGGAGUUUUGCUCAGUGGGUACAGUGCAAAAGCAAGGAUGUAAGUUCAGGAUGCCUAUGAGAGAGAAGUUUGGG
ensembl:lncRNA